rnacentral:rRNA from 1 species
GUGUGAUCAAGUCACCAAGGGCAUACGGUGGAUGUCUUGGCGUUGAGAGGCGAUGAAGGACGUGGAAACCUGCGAUAAGCCCAGGGGAGUUGGUAAACGAGCUGUGAUCCUGGGAUUUCCGAAUGGGGCAACCCACCCGCUUCGGCGGGUAUCCGGCGCUGAAUGCAUAGGCGUCGGAAGCGAACCCGGAGAACUGAUACAUCUCAGUACCCGGUGGAAGAGAAAGCAACCGCGAUUCCGUGAGUAGCGGCGAGCGAAAGCGGACCAGCCCAAACCCGUCUUCGGACGGGGGUUUGGACGCCAACAUGGUACUUUGGAUCGUCUGUGAACCUUCUGGAAAGUUGGACCACAGCGGGUGACAGUCCCGUAGCAGACGUGAAGGAGGCCUCGGCGCACCAGAGUAGUACGGAGCUCGUGAAACUCCGUAUGAAGAUGGGGGGACCACCCUCCAAGGCUAAAUACUCCUCAACGACCGAUAGUGGACCAGUAAGGCGACUGAACGAUGAAAAGCACCCCGACAAGGGGAGUGAAAAGCACCUGAAACCGUAUGCUUACACAGCGGUCGGAGCCCUUCGGGGUGACGGCGUGCCUUUUGCAUAAUGAGCCGACGAGUUACUUUCUGCGGCCAGGCGAAGUCUCUCCGAGACGAAGCCGAAGGGAAACCGAGUCUGAAAUGGGCGUCGAGUCGCAGGAGGUAGACGCGAAACCUCAGUGAUCUACCCAUGGCCAGGCUGAAGGGCGGGUAACACCGCCUGGAGGGCCGAACCCGUUAACGUUGAAAAGUUAUGGGAUGAGCUGUGGGGAGGAGUCAAAGUCUUAUCAAACUGGGAGAUAUCUCGUUCUCUCCGAAAUAGUUUUUGGGCUAGCCUCACGAGCCACCGCGCGGGGGUAGAGCGACUGGAUGGGGUUCGGGGUCCUACCCGGAUACCCGCUCCAACCAAACUCCGAAUACCGUGCGGCCCUGUCGUGGGAGUCAGUCUGCGGGAGAUAAUUUUCGCAGUCAAAAGGGAAACAGCCCAGACCGCCAGGUAAGGUCCCCAAACAGUCCUCAGUUCGAAAGGCAGUCGGAUUGCCGUGACAGCCAGGAUGUUGGCUUAGAAGCAGCCACCAUUUAAAAAGUGCGUAACAGCUUACUGGUCGAGGAAUCCGGCGCCGAAAAUGAUCGGGAAUCAAGGAUUGUACCGAACCUGCGGGGUCGUCUCUGACGACCGGUAGGAGAGCGUUGCUGUCAGCUGCGAAGGGGUCCCGGAAGGGGUUCUGGAGCGGCAGCAAGUGAAUAUGUCGGCUUGAGUAACGAUAAAGCGGGUGAGAAUCCCGCUCGCCGAAAGCCUAAGGUUUCCUGGGGAAGGUAAAUCCGCCCAGGGUUAGGCGGAUCCUAAGACGAGGCCGAGUGGCGUAGUCGAUGGACAGCCGGUUAAUAUUCCGGCCCCUUCGUGUGCGGUUGAUCCGGCGUGACGGAUCGUGAAGUUCGACGGGACAGUGAAGCGUCCAGGCCCUCGGGCCGAUGUCGGAUGGAGCGGUUCCCAGAAAAGCCGUCCGGUGACAAGCACGAAGUCCGUACUAAAACUGACACAGGUAGGCGUGGUGAAUAACCUCAGGCGCUCGAGAGAACGGUGGUGAAGGAACUAGGCAAAUUAACCCCGUACGUUCGCAACAAGGGGGCCCUACUGGCAACAGAGGGCGCAGAGAAAAGGCUCUGGGAACUGUUUAUCAAAAACACAGCACUGUGCUAACUCGCAAGAGGACGUAUACAGUGUGACGCUUGCUCGGUGCCGGAAUGUCAAGGAAGUCGGUUAGGGGCAACCCGAAGCUGGCGACCGAAGCACCGGUAAACAGCGGCCGUAACUAUGACGGUCCUAAGGUAGCGAAGUUCCUUGUCGGGUAAGUUCCGACGCGCAUGAAUAGCGUAAUCACUGGAGCACUGUCUCCACCACCGACUCGGUGAAAUAGUAGUGGCGGUGAAGAUGCCGCCUACCCGCGGCAAGACGGAAAGACCCCGUGGACCUUUACUGUAGGCUUACAUUGGUCACGAUCCUGUACUGCGUAGGAUAGGUGGGAGGCUUUGAAGUUCCGGUUCCGGCCGGGAUGGAGCCAACGUUGAAAUACCACCCUGUGCAUGCUUGUGACCUAACCUCGACUCCCGUGAAGCCGGGCGAGGGACCGUGUAUGCCGGGCAGUUUGACUGGGGCGGUCUCCUCCCAAAAAGUAACGGAGGAGCGCAAAGGUCGGCUCAGCACGGUUGGAAACCGUGCCUCGAGUGCAAGAGCAUAAGCCGGCUUUACUGCGAGACAUACUGGUCGAGCAGUCUCGAAAGAGGGCUCUAGUGAUCCAGCGAUCCCGAGUGGAAGGGUCGUUGCUCAACGGAUAAAAGGUACCCCGGGGAUAACAGGCUGAUCGCGCCCGAGCGUCCAUAGCGGCGGCGCGGUUUGGCACCUCGAUGUCGGCCCAUCACAUCCUGGGGCUGAAGGCGGUCCCAAGGGUUCGGCUGUUCGCCGAUUAAAGUGGUACGCGAGCUGGGUUCAGACCGGCGUGAGCCAGGUCGGUCCCUAUCUGCCGUGGGCGUUGCAACACUGAAAGGACUCCUCCUUAGUACGAGAGGAUUGGGAGGGACCCAUCCCUGGUGCGCCAGUUGGACCGCUCGGUCCAUCGCUGGGUAGCUACAUGGGGCAGUGAUAACCGCUGAAAGCAUCUAAGCGGGAAGCACCCCUUGAGAUGAGUGUUGCAUGUCGCAAGACGAAAGACCCCCGGAAGACCACCGGGUUGAUCGGCUGCAUGUGUAAGGACAGUAAUGUCUUCAGCAAAGCAGUACGAACGGUCAAUGACUUGAUC